CGGCGCAUGCCGAUGCCGGGAAAGCAUCAGCGGCGGUGGAUGGGGUCGCGGCCCAUCAGGUAGUUGGGGGGGUAACGGCCCACCAAGCUUACGACGGGUAGCCGGGCUGAGAGGCUGAUCGGCCACAUUGGGACUGAGACACGGCCCAGACUCCUACGGGAGGCAGCAGUGGGGAAUUUUGCACAAUGGAGGCAACUCUGACGCAGCAACGCCGCGUGCGGGAAAGAGGCCCUCGGGUUGUAAACCGCUUCAGCA
rnacentral:rRNA from 1 species